rnacentral:rRNA from 1 species
UACGUAGGGUGCAAGCGUUGUCCGGAAUUAUUGGGCGUAAAGAGCUCGUAGGCGGUUUGUCGCGUCUGCUGUGAAAACCUGAGGCUCAACCUCGGGCUUGCAGUGGGUACGGGCAGACUAGAGUGCGGUAGGGGGUGACUGGAAUUCCUGGUGUAGCGGUGGAAUGCGCAGAUAUCAGGAGGAACACCGAUGGCGAAGGCAGGUCACUGGGCCGCAA